rnacentral:tRNA from 2 species
GCGGGCAUCGUAUAAUGGCUAUUACCUCAGCCUUCCAAGCUGAAGAUGCGGGUUAGAUUCCCGCUGCCCGCUCCA